CUCGAAUGUUGAAGCACGCCCCAGAGGUGAGGCAGGCUGCCAGGACUGUGUCCCCUGGGAGGCAGGGCCUUAUUCGCUGGAUCUGCAGUGAUCGGUGGUCUCAGGCAGGCUGCUCUCUGGUCCAAAGCAUUGCAGUUGGUGGCCACACCCAGGGCUGUGGUUCCUGCCAGGCUAGAUCCACCUGAGAAGAGGACCCUCAAUUGAGAAUGUGCCUCCCUCUUACUGGCACACAGGUAAACCUUUCUGGAAACGCCAGAUAUUGUCCAGAGAUGUGUUUCCAUGGCAAUCCUCAUCUAGCCAAGUUGGCAAUGAGGAUGAAUAAUCAACGAGCAUCAACUUUCAACUGAACUCUGGUGUCUCUCUGCCUUAAAUAUGUCUCUUGGAAACUGCUGAAUUAUAUUAAAAAAAAAAAAGCUGAUGUUCGGACUUCACUGCGGUGGUAAAUGGCAGCGCGCUCUGCUGAAGAUCCCAACAGGAAUUGGACUCCAGUCAGUCCUUCACAGACCCAGCUCAAAUCUUCUGAGUGUUCUCGUGCACUCCUUGUCAGCCACUCCGCAGACACCUACUCAUUCGGGCGGAGCACAGAGGAGGGGCUAACCCCAGGAUGCUCACUGGCAGAGAAGACUUUUUGCUGAGAUUGUCUUGGCAUCCAAUGGAUCUAUAGCCAUGGCCAUCCAGGAGCCCUGGGGCACCUGUGGUAGGGUCAAGUGUGAGAUGGAGCACAGAAGUGUGAUGCUGGUUGUUGGAGUGGUACCUAGGCACUGAUGAAUGUUCCUCUACCCCAACAGCAAGACACAGCUUGCUCUCAAAUAUCAAUGACGGUAGGUUGAUGGUACAUGAUUCUCUUGGGAGGACAACAGCCACACACUAGGGAGGGUACAGUGGGGAAGGAAGAGUCUCGAGAGUCCCAAGUGAGUGUUUGUGGUAGUUUGAAUAAGAAUCCCCACCACCACCUCUAGGCUCAUAAAUUUGAACGCAUAGGGAGUGGCACUGUUUGAAAGGAUUGGGAGGUGUGGCCUUGUUGGAGGAAGUAGUCACUGGGAG
ensembl:lncRNA